UUUUCCUGACCUCGGAUCAGACGUG
rnacentral:rRNA from 1 species